CUCUCGUUUGCCUUCUUCUCUCCGGUGAUUCUGAGAAGUGAAAAUUGAUAAUAGAAAAACAGAGAAUUGAGGUGAAGAAAUCAUGAAUAGAUGAUGGAUCUGUUGAGAACCCCGGUAAUUCAUGGUGGUCCUGUUAAAUCAAGUGUUGAUUCAAAUCAGCAAAAUGUCUCUCCUUGCAUCGACACAAAUAAGGAAACAGGUGCUGAUAGAUGCCGUUAGAACUGUAGAUAAGGACUCAGGUGCGUCGUUUUCCUGUUUUGUGUAUACGCUGACUAUAAAAUUACCAAGUUAUUUUUUUAUUUUUCCUUGCCGAAAAGUUCAAACUUGGUUGUAGAAUUUGUUGUCUUUGUAUACAAUACACAAGCAUGCAGAAUAUGGUCUUACAACAACUUGGCUUAAUAAAGAAUACGAGAAUACGGUGCCACAGUCAAAGGAUAUACAUGUACUCAAGGCUGACCCAGUCCAAAUGAGUAGAGAAUGAAACUGAUAUGAAUUACGGCGACGCUGAUGAACUUUGCAAGUGUAGGUCCGUUGAAAAAGGACAUCCAGUUCUCAGGGUGGAAACAAGUCACCUUCUUGCUUCAGUUAUUGUAAAGUUUCGUAAUCCUUUAUUUUGUAAAUAUUUUAUUCGUGUAACGAGUACUUCUAGGUAAACCAGAGAAUGUAGGUUAAAUUUUGCCGUGUAGAUAACAGUAGUCGAUAGGUGCUUAUGGCUGUGAGCAUAUGCACCCAUAAGCAUAAGUGGCGUAGAUGGGAAGCAUAUGCAUAUCUCCACAAAAAGGUUCCAAUUUCAGUGCUUUUAUCUUUAAAUGUUACUAGCUUAAACUAUUAUAACAUUUCUCGAUUUACUAAACUUAGAUUCAGAUGCCAUAAAAAGACAAACACCACCAUACGUUAUCCAUCAAAAAGAAAACUAUUUGUGCAUGAUAGUUUGUAUAUGGUUGCCCAAAGUAGUUGUCAUCUGAUUUUUAAUUUUUUACAUUCAAAUUGGUAUUUCAGGUUUGUGAUUUUUUCCAUUCAAAUGGGUAAUGAUGGUUUGCUCCAGGAGAUGGUGAUUGGUGUACUUGCCCAGAAAGGAAACUUGGUAGAAGAACUACAUACUGCUGCAAACUACAUUCAAUGAAGAACUUUACAAGAAACUGGAUGUUCUUUCAAAUGAUAUAUUUGCUAAGGCUUUGGUAAGCAGUGGAAGAACAGUAAGUCUUCGAGAACUAUUGAGUUAGAUUUGACUAUGGUGUUCAAUGGAUUUGCAAGGUACUUCACACUAUGCUCCGACCAAAUUGCUUGUCACGGCCUUUGUUUCAGAAUUGAUACCCUGAAAGUGAUGUUUGGGUCUAUCCUGUUACCAUAUGCAUCACCCAAGUGUUUUAAGUCAUCUUCUUUGUUUAUAAGGUUGAGCAGUUAAGAAAGAGGUUUAUCCACUAUUCCUCCAGGGAGGGCUUGCCGGUGAUAGACGGCCAGCUUCAGGAUUUGGUUUUAGUGCACAUCAGAUAUGUAAAGUUGUCCUAGACAACACCUUAACCUUCCUGCUCAUAAGUUCUAUAAAUUGUUCUGUAGGGAAUCAAUUUUUUGUUCUAUUUUGGAUUUCAGUUUCUUUAACAUAUUUUUCUUUUUGAUGUUCAGGUAAUGGUUGCAACUGUUCGUUGUGAAGAGAUUGCCAAUGAAAAGCGCAGUCACUUGACCUCAGAUGAGGGUUGGUUGGAACUGGAUGAAGCUGUUCAAGCUGGCUUUGUGUCAGGCUUCGGAGAAAAACUCAGCUCUAUGUAGUAUCUGGAAGUAUCUGCAAGUUUUGAGUAAGCUUCUAUGUAGUAUUUGAGCUAACUUAUAGUGUAUUUAGUGUAAAUGAACUGAACU